UAUACUGUAGUUCGGAUUUAAGUCUCACCUCGUGUUUGAAAUUUUUCGUUAGUUUACGCGUAGUUUUCGGGUAAUUUUCAGAUGUCGGGACACGAAGUAAAUGCAAAUCACCGGAUGAUAGUAGUCGCGAGCUAUGACAUAUAUUCAUUGAUUAUUAAUUAUUAUUUUGAAGUAGAAUAUGGCGUGAAGAGAUGUGUUUUGAAGUAUUAAAUAUUUCGCAGCGACUAACGCCCUACGGCGCUACGCGACUCGCGAUGUUUGUGUUUGUACGACGUAUUGCACCGCGUUUGUACAAGGUCGUUUUGUUAUCAAUCGCGCGGCGAGAUUCAACCACGCAGAUAGUGGAACGAGCCAGUCAGUGUAGCAACGCAUUACUCUUCAUAUAGUUGUCCCGAUAAGUGGUGUGAGACGCCAACGCGAUUAUUCUUCGUGAUAGUUGCGAGUAGUGAUCGUCAGACUGUACCAGCGAGACUUGUGGAUUUACUGAGACGGCAGCUACGUGUCGGAAAGUAUCUCGAUACACGAUUAUUUUGGAUAUUAUUAUUGAUUAGCCGAGAGAUUAAUUAUUUCCCGUGGUUAACGACACGUAAGCGAGUCAAGGUAAAAGCUUAUUGGAUCAAGUGUCGCGCGCAGCUUGUUUACUCCAAGUUGGAACAAAAACGGCGGAAGUUGUAGAUUGUUGCAUCGUUAAGCUAUCUUGGACAGUAAUUAUUUUUAUAUCGGAUAAAUAUGAUAUUUUAUCGUAAUACCUGUAUUAUGAAACACACGUCUCACGCGAGUGCAUUCGAGAUUACAAUCCAAAGUGCGCGCUUCUAAUUACCCGCGAGUGAAUCUUGUGUAUCAAGAAGAAGCGACAAAGAAAUCUCCGUGGGGAUGAAGGGGUCUAGAAAGCAUCGGGCGACGACUACGGAGUAAGAGUCUACUGGUUGGAAGGAAACGCGUUCACUGUACCGUUAGAUAAUCAAAACGCGCCAUCAUAGUCGAGGACAACGCGAGUGAGUUUCGAAGCUUAUUGGUCGUAUGAAGAAUACUCGUUGCGACUGACCCGGGCCCCCAGAAAGUAAGUGGGAUAAAAAAGGCGAGCGUGGCUUCUGGCAGCCAAGCUUGGCUCUUACGUUGCAAGUGUUCAACUUACGUAGCUGAAGUUCAUACAACUUUUGCAACGAUCGAAUCUCUAGCGAGAAAACGAGACUAUUAGAGAGAAGUAGAAUAAUUUAUUUAAUUCCACUGGGGCCUCCCGUACAACGGGCCUCCGUAAGCGCUGCCCUAAAAUUCAAUGAACAUAUACAGUUUAUCGGAAAAAGAGGAAAAAAGAGGGAGAGAGUUGUAAUUUUUGAAAAUAUUUUAUCGAAAUAAUUGAUAGAAAUAAUCAUACUUUUACAAAGCUUAUUUUACAUUUAUUGUAUUUAAUAAAUAAUUAAAACAUAAACAAAUAAAAAUAAUUUUUUACAUUUUCUAUAUUAAAGGAAAUCCUAGCUUUUCCACUUAGAAUUGGCGGGGGAUUUUAACAUAAGAAUACAUUAUUUCCGUUUUAGUUAAAAUGGGCUUUGUGUAAUGCCACCAGUUCAGCGUACGUGCUCGAAAUUAUGAAUUGCAACUUCCCAUUCGAAAUGUAAAUCAUAUCAAAUAUAACUAAACGCUUAUCAGAAAUACGUGUAUCGCAUUCGAAUGCCACUCCAGGCAAUUUAAAUUUUUUUUUAAAGCACGAUUAUUGAUGCGGAACACAUAUCCACCACAAAAGAUAUUGUUGCAAUUUUUGUUUUUUACGUUAUCAAAAUUCGUCUUUCUAAAAAAUUGUUUACUCCUCAUGAGGGAUUAUCGUUGUAAGAAUAUUGCUAAAUGGACCGAAUAAAAGAAGAUAGGACAGUGAAAAAGCUAAAGCGAUCCAGAAAGUCGAAGUUACCAGAAGCGCACUUUCGCAUCCGAUCGUUUUACAUAAAGUUUCCGCUCUCCGUUCGGAGUAGAUAUUGCACGAUGCACAUUUGCUCAGCGCCAUUUAUGAAAUUGUAUUAAGACAGCUUUGCCAUAUGGUGGCACUGGAAAUAAAUGGCAGUAGCUACUAAUACCAUGGUCGUUUUCGGGGUUUAAAUGAAACUAUCUAGUGAGGGUAGUUAUUUUGACUUGUGUGCAUAUGCGUGCUAUUAGAAAUUCUGCUUCUGCUCUCGAGAUACUUUGCAAAUAUAAAGUUUGUUUUUACUAAAUACAAUAUUUCUCCGUAAUAUUUUAGAAAAACAGAGAGAGAGAAA